GAUGAACGCUGGCGGCGUGCCUAAUACAUGCAAGUCGAGCGAACAGACGAGGAGCUUGCUCCUCUGACGUUAGCGGCGGACGGGUGAGUAACACGUGGAUAACCUACCUAUAAGACUGGGAUAACUUCGGGAAACCGGGGCUAAUACCGGAUAAUAUAUUGAACCGCAUGGUUCAUUAGUGAAAGACGGUUUUGCUGUCACUUAUAGAUGGAUCCGCGCCGCAUUAGCUAGUUGGUAAGGUAACGGCUUACCAAGGCAACGAUGCGUAGCCGACCUGAGAGGGUGAUCGGACACACUGGAACUGAGACACGGUCCAGACUCCUACGGGAGGCAGCAGUAGGGAAUCUUCCGCAAUGGGCGAAAGCCUGACGGAGCAACGCCGCGUGAGUGAUGAAGGUCUUCGGAUCGUAAAACUCUGUUAUUAGGGAAGAACAAAUGUGUAAGUAACUAUGCACGUCUUGACGGUACCUAAUCAGAAAGCCACGGCUAACUACGUG
rnacentral:rRNA from 1 species